GGCGGCAGGCUUAACACAUGCAAGUCGAGCGCCUCGCAAGAGGAGCGGCAGACGGGUGAGUAACACGUGGGAAUCUACCCAUCCUUACGGAACAACUCCGGGAAACUGGAGCUAAUACCGUAUACGCCCUUCGGGGGAAAGAUUUAUCGAGGAUGGAUGAGCCCGCGUUGGAUUAGCUAGUUGGUGGGGUAAAGGCCUACCAAGGCGACGAUCCAUAGCUGGUCUGAGAGGAUGAUCAGCCACAUUGGGACUGAGACACGGCCCAAACUCCUACGGGAGGCAGCAGUGGGGAAUAUUGGACAAUGGGCGCAAGCCUGAUCCAGCCAUGCCGCGUGAGUGAUGAAGGCCCUAGGGUUGUAAAGCUCUUUCACCGGAGAAGAUAAUGACGGUAUCCGGAGAAGAAGCCCCGGCUAACUUCGUGCCAGCAGCCGCGGUAAUACGAAGGGGGCUAGCGUUGUUCGGAUUUACUGGGCGUAAAGCGCACGUAGGCGGAUCGAUCAGUCAGGGGUGAAAUCCCAGAGCUCAACUCUGGAACUGCCUUUGAUACUGUCGAUCUGGAGUAUGGAA
rnacentral:rRNA from 1 species